UACAAAUCGUGAAGCUUCAGUUUCAUAUCCAAACGCAACAAAGCAAUUUUCUUCAGACUGUUGAUUACAUUUGGUGAGAGGGACUAUUGACUUAUUGGAUUCACUCGUAAUUCCAUACCUAAGAAAUAAUACAGCCAUAUAAGCAUCAGAUAACUCGACAAUGAUUGGCUCUUCGUUCACAGUCCAGUUGUCACCUUCGUUCCAUGUAUAAUCGUACACAGUUUUCCAGUUGUUAUUCCAUAUAUUAAGAUUGGCUUUGACAAAUUGAUCUAAACGAACGGCAAAAAUACUUUUUAUAACAGUCAUCGUUUACAGUAGACGUGAAUGACUACAGAUACCUACCAGCCAACUGGUUGUAAUAGAACUGGUAACAACUAAAUUGCAAUUCUCGACUGGAUUCGAUCACUGGCUGAGUGGAGCAAAACAGCGAAAUCUUCAAAGACGCGCAGUCACGAACUCUAAACUGAUCACAAGCAACUACCACGGUCGAAUGAUUGUAUCCCUCACAAAAACGCUGUAUAAUAAUAAUAAUUAUUGAAUACAAAGUUUAUGAAACCUACUCUGGGAUGAUAUUUUAAUGUCACAAGUGUUAAGAUGUAAUUCUCAUAUUAUUGUCAUACUUUUUACUUAGAAAACUUGAUUUAAAAAAUAAUAUAAUGUAAUUAUGAUGAAAUUUGUACACAAAAAUAUAAAAAUUGAUUUUAAUUUGA